UGGGGAAUAUUGGACAAUGGGCGCAAGCCUGAUCCAGCCAUGCCGCGUGUGUGAAGAAGGCCUUAUGGUUGUAAAGCACUUUAAGCGAGGAGGAGGCUACUUUAGUUAAUACCUAGAGAUAGUGGACGUUACUCGCAGAAUAAGCACCGGCUAACUCUGUGCCAGCAGCCGCGGUAAUACAGAGGGUGCAAGCGUUAAUCGGAUUUACUGGGCGUAAAGCGCGCGUAGGCGGCUAAUUAAGUCAAAUGUGAAAUCCCCGAGCUUAACUUGGGAAUUGCAUUCGAUACUGGUUAGCUAGAGUGUGGGAGAGGAUGGUAGAAUUCCAGGUGUAGCGGUGAAAUGCGUAGAGAUCUGGAGGAAUACCGAUGGCGAAGGCAGCCAUCUGGCCUAACACUGACGCUGAGGUGCGAAAGCAUGGGGAGCAAACAGGAUUAGAUACCCUGGUAGUCCAUGCCGUAAACGAUGUCUACUAGCCGUUGGGGCCUUUGAGGCUUUAGUGGCGCAGCUAACGCGAUAAGUAGACCGCCUGGGGAGUACGGUCGCAAGACUAA
rnacentral:rRNA from 1 species